AGACUCUGAGUAGGAGGGCAGUGAAG
rnacentral:piRNA from 1 species